rnacentral:lncRNA from 1 species
GUGCAGAAUCACAAUUAUCAUUUCAAUCAUACAUAUUUGGUUCAUAACAGAUGGGGCAUAGAGUAAUUGGAGCAUAUCAAUAGCGUACGAGAUGAUCCGGAGCAUAUUAAUGGCAAAUAGGACAUUUCAGAAUAUAUCAGUUCAUAGCAAAUGGAGCACAGAGUAAUUGGAGCAUAUCAAUAGCGUAUGAAAUGUUUCGGAGCAUAUCAAUGACAAAUGGAACAUUUUGAAGUGUAACAAUAACAAAUGAAACAUUUCGGAGCAUAUCAAAGGCGUAUGAAAUGUUUCGGAGCAUAUCAACGGCAUAUGGAACAUUUCGAAGCAUAUCAACAAUGAAUGAAACAUUUCGGAGCAUAUAAAUAACAAAUGAAAUGUUUCGGAGCUUAUCAGUGGUGUAUGAAAUGUUCCGGAGCAUAUCAACGGCGUA